rnacentral:rRNA from 1 species
UAUGUGAUCGUCUCUCGCAUAUCAAUAAGCGGAGGAAAAGAAACUAACAAGGAUUCCCCUAGUAACGGCGAGUGAAGCGGGAAGAGCUCAAAUUUGAAAUCUUAAAGGGUUUCCCUUUACGAAUUGUAGUUUAAAGAAGUGUUUUCUGUUGAGGUUUUGGUAAAAGUUCUUUGGAAUAGGACAUCAUAGAGGGUGAGAAUCCCGUAUUUGACCUUUACUUUCAACUUUGUGAUACACUUUCAAAGAGUCGGAUUGUUUGGGGAAUGCAGUCCAAAAUGGGUGGUAAAUUUCAUCUAAAGCUAAAUAUUGGCGAGAGACCGAUAGCGAACAAGUACCGUGAGGGAAAGAUGAAAAGAACUUUGAAAAGAGAGUUAAACAGUACGUGAAAUUGUCAAAAGGGAAGCGUUUGACACCAGUGUUGUUUUUCUGAAAAUCAAUUAAAGAACUGUUUAUGCUAAGUUGUUUAGACUUUAUCAGCUAACUGUUUAGUUUUGAGCUUUUCUUUAAUGCACUUUUCAGUUAACAAGUCAACAUCAAUUUCUUUUGCUGUAAAAAAGCUUGAGGAAGGUGGCUUGAGAUUCGUCUUAAGUGUUUAUAGCCUCUUGCCUAUGCAGUCGGAGAGAUUGAGGUCUGCAGCGUAGAUCCUUCGGGGCUAAAUGCAUUUGUGCUAAGUUAUAGCAUUUUAUAGACAACUUGUUGACUAUGAUUUGUCUUGUAGCUUACUCGCUUAUGUUAUUUUACCUACGCUUAGGAUGUUGAUCUGUAGUGCGUGCGC